rnacentral:lncRNA from 1 species
UUGAAGUGAAGUUCACAGAACGUAAAGUUAGCCACGUCAAAGCAAACGAUUCGGUAGCAUUUAGUACAUUCACGAUGCUGUGCAACCACCGCCACUAUCUAGUUCCAGAGCAUUCUCACUGCCCAGAAGGAAACCCCAUACCUAUUAAGCAGUUUCUCCCUGUUCCCCGCCCCCAGCCCCUGGCGACCACCAAUCUGCCUUCUGCAUCUGUGGAUUUGCCAAUUUUGGAUAUUUCUUAUCCUAAGCCAUUUUUAAAAGAGCAAGACGCAGACAUUUGGGGUCUAGUCCCCCGCGUGUAUCCAGCCAUGUGGGCUCGAGCACAGUACUGUAGUGCCCUGUGUCGGUUUCCCCAUCUGUAAAAUGGGUGUAAGAAGUCUCAUAAUAGGGUCGUCGUGGGGAUGGGGCGGGCAUCCACGCCAAGUGCUGAGUGUGGGGUCUGCCCUGGAAGGCGUGCUACAUUUUAGCUGCUGUUGUCACGGGCAUCAGACAUCAAGACGAUAUGGGACAAGGACAGCUGGGGGCCUGGAACGGCAGACCUGGUUCCCCACUGGGCACAGCUCAUGCGUAUCAUCCCAGGCAGGUCACAUAACUGUUUGGAUCUGCAACUGCUCUUUCCCACUUUGGUGACAUUGGGUCUCCAGUUUCCCAUCCGGAAUGGCACUAUGGAACGGCCUCACUGUGUUGGAGGGGGGUGGGGCCUGGCAUUGUGUUGGGGGGUGGGGGGAUGCUCAGGAAGGAGUAUUCUGCCCCCCAACAGGGAUGCAGUGGGGACCAGCGCAGCCUUGAGAGGAAAAGUUUGGAAGGGGUGACAGUGGGCAGGUGCCCAAGGUCACAAUGAUGGGGGAUUUGCAGGACUGAGGGCCAGGGCUGAGAGCAGGCAUGUGGGGCCCCAGCUCUUCCAGCGUGUCUCUUUGCAGCCGAGCUUUUGAACAAGGGGCUGGAUGCUUGUCGUCCUGGCCCCCCUUUGCAGCUGAUCCAUCAGCUGGGCUGUUACUGUCCGGAGCCGCCAGUGGCCAUCAACGCGUCAGGCCCCCCCCUCUGCAAGUCGCCCGGGUUUUAUGUUGUAAGAACACUG